rnacentral:rRNA from 1 species
CCUACGGGGGGCAGCAGUGGGGAAUAUUGCGCAAUGGGCGAAAGCCUGACGCAGCGACGCCGCGUGAGGGAUGAAGGUCUUCGGAUCGUAAACCUCUGUCAGCAGGGAAGAACGGUCACUGUGCUAAUCAGCAGUGAAUUGACGGUACCUGCAAAGGAAGCACCGGCUAACUCCGUGCCAGCAGCCGCGGUAAUACGGAGGGUGCGAGCGUUAAUCGGAAUUACUGGGCGUAAAGCGCUCGUAGGCGGUAUGUCAAGUCAGGGGUGAAAGCCCCGCGCUCAACGUGGGAACUGCCUUUGAAACUGGCAAACUGGAGUGUGUGAGAGGAUAGUGGAAUUCCAGGUGUAGGAGUGAAAUCCGUAGAUAUGUGGAGGAACAUCAGUGGCGAAGGCGACUAUCUGGCACAUAACUGACGCUGAGGAGCGAAAGCGUGGGUAGCAAACAGGAUUAGAUACCCUAGUAGUC